GCUGGGGGAAGGCUGGGCUGGGUAUCAAGGAGGAGAGGUGCAGAAGGAUGUGAACUACCCAGGGGAGAAGAAGUUCCGUUCACAGUGUGAGGCUUUCGGGUGCUGGCAAGCACGCAGAUGGCGUCCUGUUGCUGUAGCAUGCCCCGGUGCCCAGUGGAGACCCACAGUCUCAUCAGCCUCCCCACCUGAAGCAGAGGAGCAGGAGAGACUACGGGGAAUCCCAUGGGGAGUGUGGUAGAACCUUCUGGAAUGCUGCUGGAAGAUGUCUGAGUUUGGGGCUCUGUCUGAAGAGGACCUGGCUUAGUCUACAAUGUCAUUUGCUCACUUUCGCCCCCUGCAGUACGGAUACUGUAGCGCACUUAAUCACCUUCCUUGGCAUUGGCGGCGAACUCCUAUGACCUAUGUUGAGUUGAACAUGAGGAUGUAAAACAGGCAACCAGGAAGCUCUGCACUUAUUAAUACUAAAUAAGUCUUAUCUUCAGAAAUGUUCACCUGCAGUGAGCAGAGAGAUACCUCUUUAUGAAAUAUGAAAUCCACCCAAAUUUAUUAAAAACCUCCUGUGUAGUGG